GCGCGCUGCACCCACAAAAAAAAGAAAAUAAAUAAAUCGAUGCUGACAAACACGCGGACGGUGUCAUUGAUGGAUGGGUGAGUGGAAGGAGAAAGGGGGAGGGGGGAAGAGAAGUGGAAAUGGCGGCUUGAUGGUAGAUGGUUGGAUGGAAAAAUGAAUAGACGGCAUGAUAAAAGUGUACGUGCGGGUGGCGGAUCAAAUGAUUGAUAGGAUGCAUGCGGAAUAAGAGAUGGAUGGAUGAAUGGAAAGAUGUGAAAUAGGCGAAUGGAUGAUAAGACGCAUGACGGAUGGCAGCGUGAUGGAUGGAUAGAUAAGUGCCUAGAUGGAUGGCAAAGAGCUGAUCUGAGAGGAUGACGUCAUUGCAGGUUUACCUCGAUUAACUUGUAGAAACUGCCGUAGCCAUAAAAUUGAGCGGCCGCCGUGAAGUUCAUCUGGAAGGAAGGAAGGCGGAAAAGAAAAAAAGGAAGAAAGGAGAGGAAUAAAGAUGGUAAGAAAGAGAAAAGGGAAGAGAAAGAAAGAAAGGAGGUAAGGCUUUUCGCUUGAAUAGUCGCUUGGUGUUGCUUGGCAUCGAAAGCCGCUUCAGCAUUUUAUUCAAUUUCCAUCUUCAGGUCCAUGGACUAAGUGGCCCGGUAGUCCAGUGUAAAACGAGUUUAACGCACUCAUGGAACAACUAUCCCCCCCCCCCUCCCCAAACACACACA